rnacentral:piRNA from 1 species
CAGAGACAGAAUAGGCAGAGGGAUGACAG